UGUAUGAAACAUUUGGGAACUGCUGAGAUAAAGUAAGCUGCUCCAUUCUGUUGAUUUGAAGGGCUCAAACACUUGACUAUGAGAUCUCAGCUGGAAAUUGCAACUUGCAGCAUGGAGAAGGAGUAGACAUCAUAAAUUACACCUUUAAGUCUUGGUCUUUUAUGAUCUGGUGCUAAGACAGCUGAGGCCACAAAUGGCUCUUGGGUGACUGAAGGCCUCACAGAGAAAAAGAACUGUACUAUGCAUUGACUCUGAGGGAUAAAUGAGAAGAGGUGGAUGUUCUGGAGCAUGUAUGUGAUAUGUCCUGUCUUAAUCAGGAGGGUGGAACUAGAUAAUCUCUAGAGGACCCCAUCAGCUUCAACUCCAGCUACUUUGGAAUUCUGAACUAGGAAAAAAGUUUUUUUAAGAGCAUUACCUACCUCUGUUGAUGCCUGGAUACUCAGAUCACAUGAAAAGCCAAACAAAGACCCUGUGAAUUCACACUGUUUUGAAUAGAGGGCACACUGUGGACUUUGGCUCACUUUAUAAAACCUGUGUGAGGUACAAAGUUACUACACAGCAAAAAUGUUUAUGGCACUUGCUUCUAGCUUGUGUGUACCCUAUAAGAUCUGAGGUGUCUGCAUUUUUUGUUUCAGAAAAUCUGACUGGGAAAGCUUGAAGAUACCCAUAUUAAAAUUUGAUUGUUACCACCUUGCACACUGUGCUUUUUCCCUAAUGAGAUAUAAGGACACUGUACAUGGGGGGUUGGGGGGAACACCAGCUUUACAGAUUUUUGCUUGAUGCAGCUUUAAAGGUAAAUGUCUCAUGGAGAUCUGUAUAGGGAUCAGGCCUAAAUUAAGACAGUGCAGAGAGACAGAAAUUCUGGCAUUAAUCAUAGUACUUUUAUUUAAAUGGUAAGGUGUGAUUUAAUGUAAGUGGUUUUAUUUUUAUUAAUACUAUAUGCUGAAAUUUGAACAGUACUGUACCUAAACAAUUUUACAAAUAUAACACUAAAUACACUGUUUAUUGCUCUUUUUUUUCAUGAACAUAAAACCUGGAAAUGAAUACAAGAAUAAAUAAGGCACCCUACUAAUAUGCUAUUUUUCUGUAUUGUAGUAGCAUGCAAAAAAUUUCAUUUUGCUUUUGCAAGUCACUCUCCUCAUUUUUCUUACUAGAGAAAAAAUAAGAGUUCAUUAUUUGGGCAAGUGCCUGUUUGAAAAGUCAAAACUUGAAACACUUUUUAAUUUUCUUAACUCAACAGUCUACCUUACAAAACAGUUCUUGUAUAGCAUGUCCUAAUUUCUUUUUCUAAAGACAAAAAGUAUUUUUGUUCUUCCUUUGCUGUUACUAGGAAACAUGCCUUGCAAGAGGAGUGUUCACGUACUGCUUGAGACAAAAGACCUGACUUGCUUUUUUUAGCUGCAUUUUCUUCUUGUACUGACCCCGCUCAAAAGAUAAAAAUAAAAAUGCAGAGGCAUCUUUCCUGACUUCUUGUGCGUGGCUAGGCCAAAUCACUGAUCAGCAAAAGAUGGCAGCUCCAGAGAUGCUGCUUAAGGGCCUGUUCUAAAUUUCAGUAUGCCCUAAAUUAGGGCUUCCCAGCAGUUUCAAAAUCCAUUCUGUCCAGCUGUCCUUUCUGCACACCGGCUGUCACUCUGUCAGGGCUCAGGAGAACCGCCAUGCCUCGGCCGCCCUCACAGCUUGUCAGCUGCUAGGGCAGAAGCUGGUU